rnacentral:snRNA from 1 species
GCUUGUAAUUUUGUUUUGGUUUGA